AAAAACGGUUCGAUAUUUUUUUGUCAACCCCCCCGUGCACGCUUCAGAUUAAGCGGCGGCGCUCUCGAUCCGAUCGAGAUGCAGGACGACGGCGGCAGGGCUCGGGGAACAGUGGGGAAGUGGCGGACGUCGAGGCGAGGUGGCCCAGGUCGGGAUCCAAUGCGGCGGCGCGGAGGCCGGCAGCGGCAACGCUCCAUGGCCAUGGCUGCUCGGUCUCCUGGGAAGAAGAGAGGAGGGAGAGAGGAGGUGAGAUGGAGAGAAGAGAAGGCAGAGUAGGGACGGCGCGGCUUCCUGCUGCUGGUCCGGCGAUGGCUCCAGGUUUGAUUUUCGGAUUCCUCUCCUUCCCGCUGCACGAUGGGGGUUGCCCAGCCGCCACUCUCCCUACCCCGUGCACCUCCUCCCCCUAGCCGCACCUCCCUGCUUCCAUGAAGAUGCCGUCGCCCUCGCCUGCAUCUCGCUGUUGUUUUGUUGUCCAUGGAUAAGGAGCGACAGAUUUGACAGAAAAUAGAAGAGAAAAUUUUCUAGCGUAAAAGGAGAGGAUCUCAGAAUGAAGGGAUUUUUUAGCUGUAUUUAACGGACAAUUUUGUGUGAUUUUUUCAGAAUUUAUAGCCAAAGUCUAUUUGAUUUGUGCAAUGAAAAUCAGAUCCAUCCAUUGAUUGAUAGAAUUUACCAUCCUUCAUUUUGAGAGGUCAAUCUGCGUUGUUAUCUAUUCAUUGGUGGUGCUUUGCAAAAGAGAGAGCAGGAGGCAAUGACGCCGUUGUCAACAGCACGGUGCAGCGAGGUAGGAAGCCGUGUGCAAGGGAUGAAACUGGCAGCGGUGCGCCAUGACAGGCCCCAGCAGAAUUUUGUAUAUGAGGCUUUGCUGUCUGGAUCUAUAUAUAUAUAUAUGUACAUUUUGCAGGUCAAUGCCCUUACUUACCUUAAAGUUGAAGGUAAAUCUUCAGAAACAACUAUUUUUAGGGUUGGUUCAGUCCGAAACCAAUCUGAAUUUUGUAACAAGGUUCAACAUUGCUCUCUAAAUCUAGAUAUUGUGCAGACCAGUGUCAUUAUUAAGUAGCUUAAAGUUGUAGAUAAAUCUUCAGAAACAACAAUUUUCUUUAAUCAGUACAUAAAACAAUGCUAAUUGUUGGUUAUUCAAGGAGUAGGAGCUUGAGGAAUAUGCAGAGAAGGCCAUGCCGUACGUUGCCUGACACAACAACUAGGAACAAGAGCAAAGCUGGACAACGAUCGGCCCAGCAACCACCGGCAUGAUAUCUACACACACCUACAGUUUGUGGCAAACUAAAUAUGUUUUUUGGUGGAAUCAUUAGCCAUUGCUUGAGUUUUGAUGACACAUGCAUUCUCUUUGCCCAAUGUAAGGAGACCACUCUUGCAUACAUGAUGCUCUUGUACUUGUUUCUCUGAGAUGCAUUGCUCUCAUCUACCAGACUGCAUUUCAGCUUGGCAAGCCCACCUCCAAUCCAAACAACUUUGUGUUCAUGAGCCGUGGCAUGGUAGAGUGAUGCAGCCUUUUACGGAUUUCUGGAACUGUUAAUUCCAGUGCCUUCUGAAUUUUGGUCUUGGGAGUUGAAGCGGAUUUGAUUUUGGCAUUACAUUAGUGCGCUUUUCUUUUGCGAAUAUAUUUUCAGCAGUCAAACCGCCUGUUGUGAAUUGAUUUUCAUUGUCAAGCUUGCAGGUGAAUCAGGAUCUGCAUGCUACGGUCUUGCUGGUGCUAGCGGGAGCUCACGGGCGAUCUCCCAGUCUACCGCCCCGACGAACAGGAGACGCAGCUCUCUCGCUGGGAGACCGGCACGGUCAACCCCAUUGGCGAUAUGUUCCCGGCCUGGAUCAAUCGGUCCACGCACAACUGGAGCAAGCAGGUUGAUGGAUUUUGAUAAGGAUGUUAGCUUGAAAGUUGCAACGUACAAAGCUUGCUAUUAAGUGUUGUCCCGUUGCCUUUCACGGACACACGUAUGGAUCCGCUAGGCAGGCUAGAUGCCGAUCUCCACAAGCCUAGAGUUGCUGGACUUCCGUCCUCCCACAUCAAACUUCAUGCAUAACCUUCGUCCAUCCGCAGAGAAGGUGCCGACUGCAUUGUUCGCUAGAUGGCAGCCUCAGCGUGACUAGGAGCCUAUGACUCCAAUGGUUCAAUUAAGCUUCUACUUUUAACCAUCCCACGCAUGACAGGAAGCAAUUCUUUUUUCUUUGUUCAGAGUUUCUUAAAAGGUAUGUAUGCAUUUCAAUCAAAAAUAUUUACUGAUUUAGUCUAAUGACUACUGAGGAAGUAUGUGACAGGGAUGCUUCCCCACUUACCCCGGGAUCGUAAAUGCUGAUUACAAUUGAAGAUCUGCAUAUGUGUGAUUGGGAUUUUAUGUGAAUAUAUAUGAAGCUACUAGGGAGUUUGUGUCUACUGGACCGUGCAUGCAGUAUUUAAUACCCACUGCUUUAGAUGUUGAAUAUAUUUUUACUAUAGUUAUUGGAACUAAUUUUCUUACUUGUAUGACAGAAAUUGAAACUGCUACUUGUAUGUAAGAAAUUGUACGAUUUUAGUACUAUCAGUGAUCUAAUACAUGCCCCACAGAGUCUGACGACGGUGGUGAGGGCACAACCAGCUGCUUCCUACAGUUCAAUAGGCAAUCAAAUCAGGAUAUUUAUACAUCAUGUUGAGAUGGUUGAUGUUGCAGUCUGAUGAGGUCUCGGACGUGUGGCUUCUCCUUAAUUUUUGACGCCACCAGCUCCUGGAGGGGAGGCCAGAAGGCGGGCCGGCCGGCAGCGGCAUUCUGUUCGGGGAUGCGUGGAUCUGGUGAUGCUAGUGCAGGGGAACGGGAAACAUCACCUCCGCCAAGGAAUUUCACAUAGCCAAUUUACCUUUCUCCCUAAAGAUUUUUUACUCUGCUAUCAGUACCACUGGUCUUGGGGUUUAGAUUUUGUCAAUAUCAAAAUUUGGGUACUUACCAGCAAACGAGUUGUUGAUCUAUUUACUUAGUCAAGUUCAUUUCUGCUAUGUUAUGUCAGUUAAGCUUCAGAUUCUAGCCUUGAUUAAAUGGCAAUGAUAUUCUCCAAAACCUACUGAUGUCAGAAAUCCUGCUACCCAACAGGAUGGUUUGCCAACUAAUGUGAUCAAAACAUUCCUGCUUUAGAUAGAAGAACUUAUUUCCUGUUACUUAGCUCGGUACAUAAUGGCAGCCGUCACAGAAAAGGAAGUUGGGGGCACAUGAGAUGUACUGACCACUCCUUAGUCCCAAGAAUGGGAGUAACAAUGUUUCUCAAGUUCUGCUGCUGUAUUGUACUCAAAGUCUAUUCAUCUAACUGCCUUGCCAAUCAUUUGCUAUUAACUCUCAAACAUCAGAUAUUUUUUUGACAUCCUCAAACAUCGGAAAUAUUUCUUCGCAGCUUCCUUCUGCCCCUCCCCUCCACCCUUUUCGGAUAGGUUUUUUUUGCGAAUACCCUUUCUAGAUAGCUAUGUCCCACCAUCUGCAUCAGAACAAGAGAAAGGGGCAGAUGAUCUGUUAGCCACAGAGACAUUGCUUCCUGCAAUUGACCAUAUUACCGAUCAAGGGCCAGUAAAAAUAUUGAUUUCAAUGAGAUUUUGCCGCUGACCAAGUAAACUGUGUUUUUCGUGAGCUGGGACCAUGAAAAUAUGAUUUAACGGUAAAAAAAGUAAGUCAACAAUGUUGUCUGAUAUGCAUGAGGAUUUGGUAGACGUUUGACAUAAGAAUAUAUAUGCCUUCAAGCCUGAUUUUCGUGCCUUGCCUGUUGUUUUCUUUUAGUAUAUUUUUUCUCCCGUUGCAACGCACGGGCAUUUUUGCUAGUCUCUACUACCUAAAAGAACCGUAAGGUUCCGUUUCCCCUUUUACGUCGUCCCACCUUUCGUCGAUCCCCUCCCGACGCGAGCGCUGGUCUCCUGAAUUUUCUCGCUAAAAAAAUCCGAAACAACGAGCGCAUAUCAGCCCACUUUACUCUCCCGUCCUGGCCCAAUCUUUCCCCCACCCCUUGCGACCUGAGAAUGCGCUAGCGGCUAGCGCUACCCUCGCCCGCCGCCACCACCUAGACAUCGCUCACCUCCUCCCAUACCGCCGUGCGAUCCAGCCACAGUCGCCUGAAAUCUCGCUGGGUGACUCCGAUACGCCUCGUCCCAGCCGCCGCCAGAAGAGCUAUUCUACAUACGUCGAGAUGGAGAUGCCCACCUUCUCCUCCCUCCCCCUACCCUCGCCUCACGUGAUCCAACACCAACGAGAGGACGACCUCCUACGAUCCAGCCGUAGUUGCCGCGGAAUCUCGUCGGGACAAAUCCGCCCGGCCUCAUCCCAGCCGCCGUCGGUAGAGGUUAUUUUCCAUAGGCCAAGGUGAGAUUCUUUGUCCGAUGGUGCGAAUUUCGGCUGGUUCCAUGAGCACUUCGUUCCCCGCCGUGCAACCUUUGUUGAUUCGGAAAGACGGGGGCUGUCUGUUUAGCUAAUUCAAUCUGUCAUUGAUCAUGCUAAUUCUUGUUAUAUUGGAAAUAACAUGAACAUGCUGCUCCUUUUUCUAAUCACAAUACUUCUUAGUGGAGAGCUCGGGCGUCUGCGUCUGUGUGGAAGCAGAGCUCGGCUGUUGGCGACAACACGGACGGCUGAUUUGUGACUGGUCGAAGGGUGAGCAUCACAUACCUGUGCGCAUACGCAUAGGUAACAUACUAUCUUGGCCGCGAAAGAGCAAGUUCACAUGUGAUAAACUAUGUUCGUGGUUUCUGUGUUUAUUUUCUACCAUAAGUUCUCAGGGCACCGUUUUGCAUUUACAGUACGCAGACAAAAGAACAAGAGUAAGCAUUUACAGUAUACAGACAAAAGAACAAGAGCAUUUACAGUACGCAGGGAUUUAGGGUUAACUCGGAUCCAAGGCCAUUGAAGGGCUUUGGCUCUGUUCCUUCCUCGCGAGAAUUGUUCUUGCCAUGAACUGUGGCUGUUUGUUAUCUUGGUCGAAAAGCUGAACAUGUCGUACCUUGUCAUUGUAGUAUUGGUCAUCUUUUGCACUUGCUCCAUAAAACAUUUAUCUUGUACAGUACCCAUAGCCCAAUUCUAAUUUGCGCCGUCUGUUUGUAGUGAUUGCGAGGAGAGAGAUGUGCUGCACUUAUGUCAGUAAUCAUGGUUUGCUGAACAUUCCAAUGCCCGCCUUGAGCAUGCAAAAAUGCUUUUGAAUGCCUCUUAGUCACAAAUCAAGUCACACACCACAUCUCCUUUUUUUGAGAAAAACAUGAAGUUGAUGAGCUGUGUACGUGAAGAUGAAAGGAAGCCAAGGGAAUAUACUGUGUUCGGCGGUGACCUUGGAAAGUGCAUGUUGCUCCUACAUAGACUUUCCUGAAAAGUCGCUAUUCAAUUUUUCUUUUGUUAGAGAAAAUAUCAUAGUGGGCACCCCUGCAGAAGCAUCAUUGCAAUGUUUUGUGCAGUUUGACCAUGACUAUUCUUGUCAUGCAAUUAUGCGGUGAACAAAAUUAUGUAUCUACUUCGCCUUGAAUUGAAUAAUUUACCGUGGUUCAAUCUUUUGACUCAAAUAUGCGCAAGGAGUUCAAUAAUUACCGUGGUUGCAUUUUGGUGAUGAUAUAUUUUUCCUCCAUAGCAA